rnacentral:rRNA from 1 species
UNUGACUUGAGUGCAGAAGGGGAGAGUGGAAUUCCAUGUGUAGCGGUGAAAUGCGUAGAUAUAUGGAGGAACACCAGUGGCGAAAGCGGCUCUCUGGUCUGUCACUGACGCUGAGGCUCGAAAGCGUGGGUAGCGAACAGGAUUAGAUACCCUGGUAGUNCACGCCGUAAACGAUGAGUGCUAGGUGUUAGGCCCUUUCCGGGGCUUAGUGCCGGAGCUAACGCAAUAAGCACUCCGCCUGGGGAGUACGACCGCAAGGUUGAAACUCAAAGGAAUUGACGGGGGCCCGCACAAGCGGUGGAGCAUGUGGUUUAAUUCGAAGCAACGCGGAGAACCUUACCAGGUCUUGACAUCCCGAUGCUAUUCUUAGAGAUAGGAAGUUACUUCGGUACAUCGGAGACAGGUGGUGCAUGGUUGUCGUCAGCUCGUGUCGUGAGAUGUUGGGUUAAGUCCCGCAACGAGCGCAACCCUUAUUGUUAGUUGCCAUCAUUAAGUUGGGCACUCUAGCGAGACUGCCGGUAAUAAACCGGAGGAAGGUGGGGAUGACGUCAAAUCAUCAUGCCCCUUAUGACCUGGGCUACACACGUGCUACAAUGGCUGGUACAACGAGUCGCAAGUCGGUGACGACAAGCUAAUCUCUUAAAGCCAGUCUCAGUUCGGAUUGUAGGCUGCAACUCGCCUACAUGAAGUCGGAAUCGCUAGUAAUCGCGGAUCAGCACGCCGCGGUGAAUACGUUCCCGGGCCUUGUACACACCGCCCGUCACACCACGAGAGUUUGUAACACCCGAA